UGUACUUGUCCAGACUAGUGCCGAUUUUAUAGUGCUAGGCCACUGAGAUACCAUCCUUAAAACUAGGAUCUACCAGCUCUAUCUAAAGUAACAUUAACAUUUACAAAACCAGGGACGUUAUUUAUUUUUCACCAUGUUUAUAUAAUACGAGGCAUAUUCAGGUCGUACAUUUGAAGGUAGUCAAGUUGCUUACAUCGCUGCUGGUGUUGGAGGAGGUGUUGCAGUCGUCACUGUUGUCGUCGUCAGUGUUCUGUGUAUAAGAAGAAGGAGAGAACGUCCUGUGAAUAACGGCAGCACACGUGAACACAAACACGAGGCAUCACAUACCUACUACAAUGAAAAUCGCGUCUUACAAGACCAAGACAUUAACGACAAAGUUCAAGUGGAAAAUGAUAUUUAUGAGACUUCACGUGACGUCACUUCACCCAACCAUCCUUCAACAAAUGAUCACAUGAUAACAGAUGUCUACGCCCAAGUGCAGAAACCCAAGACAAAUAAGCCGGGACCUACAGGUACAGCCGAC